rnacentral:rRNA from 1 species
AACGAACGCUGGCGGCGUGGAUAAGACAUGCAAGUCGAACGGGACAGACCGAGUAGCAAUAUUUGGAAUGUUCAGUGGCGAACGGGUGCGUAACACGUGGAUAACAUUCCGGAAAGCGGGGAAUAGCCCAGGGAAACUUGGAUUAAUACCGCAUGUGGCCGCAAGGCUAAAGACGGGGACCGCAAGGCCUGUCACUUUCCGAUUGGUCCGCGGCCUAUCAGCUAGUUGGCGGGGUAAUGGCCCACCAAGGCUACGACGGGUAGCUGGUCUUAGAGGACGACCAGCCACACUGGAACUGAGACACGGUCCAGACACCUACGGGUGGCAGCAGUCGAGAAUCUUUCACAAUGGGGGCAACCCUGAUGGAGCGACGCCACGUGGAGGAUAAGGUCUUCGGAUUGUAAACUCCUGUCAUGCGAGAACAAGGUACUCAGGCUAAUAACCUGAUUGUUUGAUGGUACCGCAAGAGGAAGAGACGGCUAACUCCGUGCCAGCCGCCGCAGUAACAC